rnacentral:rRNA from 1 species
GUGCCAGCAGCCGCGGUAAUACGUAGGUCCCGAGCGUUGUCCGGAUUUAUUGGGCGUAAAGCGAGCGCAGGUGGUUUAAUAAGUCUGAUGUAAAAGGCAGUGGCUCAACCAUUGUGUGCAUUGGAAACUGUUAGACUUGAGUGCAGUAGAGGAGAGUGGAAUUCCAUGUGUAGCGGUGAAAUGCGUAGAUAUAUGGAGGAACACCGGUGGCGAAAGCGGCUCUCUGGACUGUAACUGACACUGAGGCUCGAAAGCGUGGGUAGCAAACAGGAUUAGAUACCCUGGUAGUCCACGCCGUAAACGAUGAGUGCUAGUUGUUUGGGGCUAUCCAGCCCUAAGUGACGCAGCAAACGCAUUAAGCACUCCGCCUGGGGAGUACGACCGCAAGGUUGAAACUCAAAGGAAUUGACGGGGGCCCGCACAAGCGGUGGAGCAUGUGGUUUAAUUCGAAGCAACGCGAAGAACCUUACCAGGUCUUGACAUACCAGUGCUAUUCUUAGAGAUAAGAAGUUACUUCGGUACACUGGAUACAGGUGGUGUAUGGUUGUCGUCAGCUCGUGUCGUGAGAUGUUGGGUUAAGUCCCGCAACGAGCGCAACCCCUAUUGUUAGUUGCCAUCAUUAAGUUGGGCACUCUAGCGAGACUGCCGGUAAUAAACCGGAGGAAGGUGGGGAUGACGUCAAAUCAUCAUGCCCCUUAUGACCUGGGCUACACACGUGCUACAAUGGUUGGUACAACGAGUCGCAAGCUAGUGAUAGCAAGCUAAUCUCUUAAAGCCAAUCUCAGUUCGGAUUGUAGGCUGCAACUCGCCUACAUGAAGUCGGAAUCGCUAGUAAUCGCGGAUCAGCACGCCGCGGUGAAUACGUUCCCGGGCCUUGUACACACCGCCC